rnacentral:rRNA from 1 species
UCAGCGAUGGAUAUCUUGGCUCGGGCACCUGUAAAGGGCGCAGCGAAGCGCGAUAGUCUUUGUGAAUUGCAGAACUCCGUGAACCAAUCGCCUCCUGAACGUGCGCUGCACUCUUGGGAUUUCCUGAGAGUAUG